rnacentral:rRNA from 1 species
UGAGGAAUUUUGCGCAAUGGGGGAAACCCUGACGCAGCAACGCCGCGUGGAGGAAGACGGCUUCGGUUGUAAACUCCUUUUCUGAGGGAAGAGCAAGGACGGUACCUCAGGAAUAAGCCACGGCUAACUACGUGCCAGCAGCCGCGGUAACACGUAGGUGGCAAGCGUUAUCCGGAUUCAUUGGGCGUAAAGCGCACGCAGGCGGCGUGAUAAGUCUGGCGUGAAAUCUUCUGGCUUAACCGGAAGAGGUCGUCGGAAACUGUCAUGCUAGAGGUGAUGAGAGGAAUGCGGAAUUCCCGGUGUAGCGGUGGAAUGUGCAGAGAUCGGGAGGAACAUCAGUGGCGAAAGCGGCAUUCUGGCAUUUACCUGACGCUCAUGUGCGAAAGCGUGGGGAGCGAACGGGAUUAGAUACCCCUGUAGUCC